rnacentral:rRNA from 1 species
UACAGAGGUGGCAAGCGUUGUUCGGAUUUACUGGGCGUAAAGGGAGCGUAGGUGGUGCGGUAAGCCCUCCGGGAAAGCUUCAGGCUUAACCUGAAAAGGUCGGGGGGGACUGCCGCGCUAGAGGACGGGAGAGGAGCGCGGAAUUCCCGGUGUAGCGGUGAAAUGCGUAGAGAUCGGGAGGAAGGCCGGUGGCGAAGGCGGCGCUCUGGAACGUUUCUGACACUGAGGCUCGAAAGCGUGGGGAGCAAACGGG